CAGUCGCCGCGGUAAAACAGAGGAUGCAAGCGUUAUCCGGAAUUAUUGGGCGUAAAGCGCGCGCAGGUGGUUUAAUAAGUCUGAUGUGAAAGCCCACGGCUCAACCGUGGAGGGUCAUUGGAAACUGUUAGACUUGAGUGCAGGAGAGAAAAGUGGAAUUCCUAGUGUAGCGGUGAAAUGCGUAGAGAUUAGGAGGAACACCAGUGGCGAAGGCGGCUUUUUGGCCUGUAACUGACACUGAGGCGCGAAAGCGUGGGGAGCAAACAGGAUUAGAUACCCCGGUAGUCCCUGUCUCUUAUAC
rnacentral:rRNA from 1 species